rnacentral:rRNA from 1 species
GAUGAACGCUGGCGGCGUGCCUAAUACAUGCAAGUCGAGCGAACAGACGAGGAGCUUGCUCCUCUGACGUUAGCGGCGGACGGGUGAGUAACACGUGGAUAACCUACCUAUAAGACUGGGAUAACUUCGGGAAACCGGAGCUAAUACCGGAUAAUAUAUUGAACCGCAUGGUUCAAUAGUGAAAGACGGUUUUGCUGUCACUUAUAGAUGGAUCCGCGCCUCAUUAGCUAGUUGGUACGGUAACGGCUUACCAAGGCAACGAUGCGUAGCCAACCUGACAGGGGGUAGGCCCACUCGGAACUGAGACACGGUCCAGACUCCUACGGGAGGCAGCAGUAGGGAAUCUUCCGCAAUGGGCGAAAGCCUGACGGAGCAACGCCGCGUGAGUGAUGAAGGUCUUCGGAUCGUAAAACUCUGUUAUUAGGGAAGAACAAAUGUGUAAGUAACUAUGCACGUCUUGACGGUACCUAAUCAGAAAGCCACGGCUAACUACGUG